rnacentral:rRNA from 1 species
GGAAGGAUCAUUAUCGAAAGUGAAUCCGGAGGGAAAGGAAGGGUAGAGAUUGUCGCUGGCCUUUUUUUUCUUUGGGCAUGUGCACGUCUCGACCACUUUUCUCUUUGUGAGCCUUUUUUUCUUCAUACACCUGUGCACCCGUCGUAGGUCCCGCGAGGGAUCUAUGUUUUCGUCUACUCUGUAACGUAUGGCCAGAAUAUAUAUAUGGUUUCACGGCGUUGGCUUGAAAUGGGCCUCCGCCGGGCGACGAUAAAUAAAAUAAAUACAACUUUCAGCAACGGAUCUCUUGGCUCUCGCAUCGAUGAAGAACGCAGCGAAUUGCGAUAUGUAAUGUGAAUUGCAGAUUUUCAGUGAAUCAUCGAAUCUUUGAACGCACCUUGCGCUCCUUGGUAUUCCGAGGAGCAUGCCUGUUCGAGUGUCAUGAAAUUAUCAACCGUCCCUCGAUUGACUUUGGAGGGAUGGCUUGGAUUUUGGGGGUUGCCGGCCGAAUCCACUGGGAAUGGGUCGGCUCUCCUUGAAAGCAUUAGCGAAAGGUGGCAAGCCCCUGCAUGCACGGUCUUGGACGUGAUAAUGAUCGUCGCGGCUGGAGUGCGCGAGGCGGCAUAGAU